GAGGAUGACAUGAAUGUUGGUUGAAGAAUCAUUUCUUCCUCUACAUCACUUUGUAGGUCCCCUCCAUAUUUUAAAGGGCAACCGCUCCCAGGCACAGAGAAUUGAGAAGAGAGGAUUAACAUUUGGGUGAGGUGAGGCACCUGGAAGAAGCCUUGAAAUACGUUUCCUAUUGUGAACUCUGGACUCCUUAGAUUCAGGUAAUAUAUUAAACAAUAAUGUCCAUGUGAGUAUUAUUUGAUGGAUCUGAUGAAAUUAACUAAGCUGUUGGUCUAGCAAUGAAGCUGAAGUAUCUCUGGAAGAGGUGAGGGAUGGAAAUAUCUUGAGGUUUUCAAAAUUACUUUUACCAUGUGAAUCAGGGUGGUUUGCUUUAGCCUUGACUAAAAGCUUAUCAGUAAUCAUCAGUCACUGUUUUAGUAAAACUGAAAGGUCAUUUGCUGCUGUUAUUCAGGAUGUAAAAAAUAAUUACUUUAUCUUUCAACAGUAGAUGGUACUGUGAGUAGAUUGUCACAGGGAAUGGGCAAGAUAUGGAUCAGUUUAGGAGGUAGUGUCAGGGAAUUAGGAUGAGCUACAAGAGCCAACUGCCUGCAGUAGCAAGUGUAAAUACAGAGAAUAAACACGCCAAGGAUAUGUAGAAUAAUCUGUGA
rnacentral:lncRNA from 13 species